rnacentral:rRNA from 1 species
UACGUAGGGUGCAAGCGUUUAAUCGGAAUUACUGGGCGUAAAGCGUGCGCAGGCGGUGAUGUAAGACAGGUGUGAAAUCCCCGGGCUUAACCUGGGAACUGCAUUUGUGACUGCAUCGCUGGAGUGCGGCAGAGGGGGAUGGAAUUCCGCGUGUAGCAGUGAAAUGCGUAGAUAUGCGGAGGAACACCGAUGGCGAAGGCAAUCCCCCUGGGCCUGCACUGACGCUCAUGCACGAAAGCGUGGGGAGCAAACAGG